UUUAAUUAUAUAAUAAUUCAUAAUGUUCAUAUUGAUUGGGAUUAAUUAAUAUUCAUCCAUAGACUGAUAAUCUAAAAUGAUUAUCUAAUUGUCAACAGUUUUACCUUUAAGAAUUGAGAAUCUAUUUUGGUUGAAAAAAGAAAGCUUGUCAUCUUUCAAUUCAUUGGAUUCAAUUGAAUUAAAUUUGAUUCUGAUUCUAAAUUGUCAAUAGAAACUAAAUUAUAAAAUUUAACAUGAUCACAAUUAACUUAAUCAUCAUUUCUCUUUAUCCUUUUAUCAUCUUUGAUUAAUCUUCCUCUUGUUGAUCGUUUUUCGCCUCAUCUUCCUUCUUGUCUAUCAAAUCAAGUGCUGAUUGUUGACUAACAAUUUAAUUUUCUAUUGUAAUUUACUCUAAAUCAACUUAAUUCUCACUUUCCUUCGUUGAUUUAGUUUAACAAUCUAUUAGUUGGUGACAACAGGGAAAAAAUUAUUUACACUUUCAUAUGAUAUUACAUCCGUUUAUUAUACUAAUUGUGUUAAUCAAUGUUCAGUAAAUUGUUCAACCAGAAAUCAUAAAAUUGUCUCUAAUCAUCAUCAUCAUCAUCAUAAUCUUAAUUACUAUCAACCUAAAAUCAAAUUGAUUUAGUGAUUCAAAUGAUUCUCAAUGAAACCAUUCUCACCACAAUUAACUAAUGACAACCUUAAUUAUUUGGGGUUGUUGUUGUUGUCCAAACAAAUUAGACUUUUUUUACAAUCAAAGAUCAACUAAUUGUUGAGAGAAAAACAAAAUUGAUAAUUUGUUAGUGUUUAGAAUAGAUUAACUAAUUGAGAGUUUAAAUUGUGUAAAAUCAACAACAAUUUACCAAAAGAAAAAUAAAAUGAGUGAUUCAAAUGUAACAACAGAAUUAAAAAAUAAUUCAUCCGAUUUAUCGUUAAUCACUUCAAAUACAAUUACUACAACAACAACAACAACAUCAACAUCUAAUUUUAUUGAUGAAACAAUUGAAGAUAACAAUUUAUUAAUGAUCGACUCUAAAUCAUGUUUACCACCAACACCAUUAAACUCACGGCCUCCCAAUGGUUACCCAAAGGGUUUACUACCCACCGCCACCUCUAGUUUAACUUCAACCAUUACGUUGGCCACCCUGUUUGACGAUUCAUUGUUACCCACCACACCAUCACCUCCACCACCACCACCUCCGCCUUCAUCACCAGCCCACCGUCAGUCACCUUAUAUAACCACAAGUAAUUCAUCAUCAAUCUAUUCUCACCUUUAUAAUCACAAUCAACAAUAUUCAACACCAAUAGUAACCAACUUGUCAACAUCAUCCAGUAAUUAUAAUCAACCUUCCUCUCCCCGAUGUAGCGGUGGAAAAUUUUGGAGAUUUUUCCGCUCCUCAUCACCUAAUCGACAUCGACAACGAGUUGUAUUCAAAAAUGGUGGAAUUAACCUUUGCAAGGAACAUAUUGAGAAACGAUCUCGACGUUACCUUCAAGAUACAUUUACCACAAUGGUUGACCUUCGUUGGCGAUACAAUCUUCUAGUUUUCACCUUGGGUUUCGUCCUCUCUUGGCUUUUAUUUGCUUCCAUUUGGUAUGUGGUGGCCUAUUUUCACGAUGACCUGGGUGAAAGUGUACCUCAUGAAAGGUGUGUCAUCGGUGUUAAUUCAUUUAUUACCGCUUUCCUUUUCUCCUUUGAAUCGCAACACACCAUUGGCUUUGGUAACCGUUAUCCCCAUGAAAAUUGUGUCGAGGGAAUAUUUUUCAUGUGUUUCCAGUCAAUUUUUGGAGUGAUGAUUGAGUGUUUUGUGGUUGGCUUUGUGUUUGCCAAACUUUCCAGGCCAAAGAAACGCUCACAGACCCUUAUCUUCAGCCGAAACGCUGUUGUCAAUGUACGAGAUGGUUCACUUUGCCUGGUAUUUCGUGUAGGUGAUGUUCGUGCUCGAUCUUACAUUAUUGGUGCUUCAGUGUCCGCUCUACUUAUAAGCCGAAAAAUAUCCUCAGAGGGUGAAAUUUUACCCUAUUAUCAUGAAUCUCUGAAAGUUCAUUUUGAUUCUUGUGGAACAUCAGUUUUCCUUGUAUGGCCUGCGACAAUCUACCAUGUUAUUGAUGAAACCUCACCUUUUUACUCAAUGGAUCCUGAAGCUUUAGCCAAUAGUCAGUUUGAAAUAGUAGCCAUGUUGAAGGGGACCGUUGAAUCGACUGGACAAACAAUUGAAGCGAGAACCUCAUACCUACCCGAGGAAAUUACUUGGGGUCGACGAUUCGAAAGGCUAAUCGAUUUCCAAACCCAAUCAGGAGUUUAUCGAGUUGAUUACAGUAAAUUUGAUUCUACCUAUGAAAUAUCAACUCCUAAAAUAUCAGCUCGACAAUUUGAUCAACAACAACAGCAACACCAACAACAACAACAACAACCAUCCUAUCCAAAUAAUCAGCAACAACAACAACAAUUUAGCCAACAACUUCAACGUACAAGGCGAUCAGUUGCUUGGAACCAAAUAGAAGAUCAUAAUCGGAAUAAAGUUGUUGAUUAAUAUAAAUGUUUAAUUGUUGGUUAGUUUUUUUCUCUGUGCUUCUUAUUACAGGAAAACUGUAAAUUAUAUCAAAUGGUUGAGGGUUGAUAAUAUUUAAGUGAUGAUGAAAAGAGAAGAUGAUUUUAUCAUCAUCAUAAUCAACUAAAUGAUGAGGAUUAGAUGAUUAAUAAUAAUAUGGAAUCAAAAAGUGACCUGAAAACCAAUGGCCUUGAAACCAGAUCAUUGUUGUCAAUUAAUUAACAAUAAUAGUAAAUAAGACUAAUAAUCAUCAACUAAUUUGCUAUAAUAAUAAUGAAAUUACAAUUUAUUAUCAUUUGUAAAAUUAAAUUAAUAAAUACAGUAUAUUAUAUAUUGUAUUAAA